GGAUCCAUAGGGUAGAGGAUAUCCUCCUGGGCUUCGAACCCAGGGACGCGGGUUCGAUUCCCGCUGGGUCCG
rnacentral:tRNA from 1 species